UAGGUCAUAAAUAACAUACUGAAAAAACUUCUUAAGCUUAUAUUCGUAAAGUUUCCUGCGACUGAAGCAGAAUCUUUCUGGGAGAUCUUAUAGCAUGGGACCCCACUGUAAACAGUGCGUGUCCAAAGGAGGUGCGUCAAAUGGAUUUUCUGCUGCUGAUAAACCGAAAUACAGUUGCUUUUCAGACGGACUUUCUGCACCAGAGCCCGAAACUAAGGCCACGUAGUGCUUGGAUCGGCGAGAUGAGUGCCUGAGUGCUCGACUCUCUGCUUUUCGGUGGUGAUAAGUGGACGCGGCCAAUGGGCCACGCAGGCAGAUUCCGGAGCUGAGUGAUAACUAUCGGCCGUUCUGGCUGAUAAGCUCCACCAUAAUAUUGCGUCGGAUUUCGAUUGGGUGAAAGGUUGGGAACUGGCGAAUGAGAAAGAGAGAUCUCAACCGAGGAGCAGCAGAGACAGAGACCAUGCACUUGUUCGACCAAAGCUGUUUUCUAAAUCAAUGCCCAACGAGUUUUCGUAGCCUACAUUUUCCUCUUCACCGAAAGAACAACAAAGAUAUGGCUGCCUCUUUAUUGAGUGUAUCUUUGUAUGUAUGGACAGAGGCGGUGGCAGGAUUUAUAAAAAGGGAUAAUUGCAGUUGUUGUAGGAGUCAUAAGCCUAGAAAAAAAACCCCCUGUCGACGCCCCUGUGGUCGCUCAUGAAAAAUGUGUCAAACGAAGAGAAAUGAAGAGCGCAAGAGCGACAGGGAUAGGAACAGUGAGAGGAGAGAGCGACAGCUUGGCGAAGUAACUUAACGGAGCAGGGAGCAGCUCCAAAUAAAACCGGAUGAUAGCCGGCAACUACAACAAAACGAUCGAGUGCCAAUGGCGUAUAUGCAUGUGACUGUGCUUGUGUGCCUGCACAUUUCUGUGUCGCUCUUUUGCUUCUUCGGGAAUGCGGUUGUGUGUGUGUUGCCACCUUUCGAGAAGGCACAGGUUCGUAUGUGACGCCUGCAGCGACGCUGACGUCGACAAAUGAAGACAAAGCACAAAAACAAUGCGCUAAAGUUCAGCUUUAAACCAAAAAAAAAAAAAAACAACAAAAUAUACAAAAUUGGUAUGC